rnacentral:lncRNA from 12 species
AUGGAACAAGUGGCCCUGCCUCAACCUGGAUUACUGCUUAGUAAUAUUUCACCUGGUCCCACAGUAAAAAGUGAGAUGGUAUUGAAGCAACAUUUGGAACAGAAAUUACUGCUCUCUGAAUUACGGCUGCAGUUCCUCAGCACUAUUUUGGGUCACCUCAAAUACCAGUGCUCGCCUAGAUCCCACUUGAUGUGUUGUGUUCCUAUGUAGGGAACGUCUGUGUCAAGAUGCCUUCUUGCAAUUUCUACCUUUUGGAGCUUUCCUGGCCUUCCUCAUAGGUCAGGGCUUUUUCUCCUGCUUUCCCAGUAGAACGGAGAAUGGCCUGACUGAUUCAGGAGGUUGGCUAGCAUAUUAGUUUUCUAGCCCCGCUGUAAACAAACUACCACAAUUUGGGCAGUUGAAAACAACAGAAAUGUAUUUUCUCACAAUUCUGAAGCUCGGAAAUCUGACAUCAGGGUGUCGGCAGGGUUGUACUCCCUCCCUCCAGAGACUCUGGGGGAGGAUUGGUUCCUUCCUCUUUUAGUUUCUGGGGGUUGUCCUGUGUUCCUUGGCAUUCCUUUGUUUGUGGUUACAUCACUCCAAACUCAUCUGUGUGUUCACUUUGCCUCCUUUCUCCUUUGUGUGUAUGUCUCAAACCCCCCUCUGCCUCCUUCCUAUGAGGGUACGUGUGAUUGCAUUUAGGGACCAUGAGAUAAAAUCCAACAUCAGCUCUUCCUCCAAGAUCUUUAAUUCAAUCACAUCUCUUACCAUAUAAGGUAAUAGUCACUCUUGCUAUGCUGGGUAAUAGUCACAGGUUCUAAGGAUCGGGGCAUUGAUAUAUCUUUUUGAAGGCCACUAUUCAGCCCACUGCAGCCAGUCUCAAAAAGUUCUGGAAAAGGAAUCCAAAUACUCAUAAUUCAAUUCAACAAACAGUUAUGGAAUGCCUACUAAGCACCAUCACACAUACCAUACAAAUUCCCUCACAAACCCUAAUAAGACAAUUCAAAACACACAAACACACACAUUUAUAUUCAUUUCUUACAACCACAUGUUGGAGUGAAAGGAGAUGGGCACCGGGGUGGCUCAGGGGUUGAGCAUCUGUCUUCAGCUCAAGUCGUGACCCCAGGGUCCUGGGAUUGAGUCCCACGUUGGACUUCCUACAGGGAGCCUGCUUCUCCCUCUGCUUGUGUCUCUGCCUCUCUGUGUGUCUCUCAUGAGUACACAAAUAAAUAAAUCUUAAAAAAAAAAAAAAAGGAAUGA